rnacentral:rRNA from 1 species
AGUGGCGGACGGGUGAGUAACGCGUAGGAAUCUACCUGAUAGUGGGGGAUAGCCCGAAAAAAUUCGGAUUAAUACCGCAUAAUCUAUUCGUAGUAAAGUGGGGGACUUUCGAGCCUCACGCUAUCAGAUGACCCUGCGUAAGAUUAGCUAGUUGGUAGGGUAAAAGCCUACCAAGGCUACGAUCUUUAGCUGGUCUGAGAGGAUGAUCAGCCACAUCGGGACUGAGACACGGCCCGAACUCCUACGGGAGGCAGCAGUGGGGAAUAUUGGACAAUGGGGGCAACCCUGAUCCAGCAAUACCGCGUGUGUGAAGAAGGCCUGAGGGUUGUAAAGCACUUUCAAUUGUGAAGAAAAGCUAGUGGUUAAUAGCCAUUAGCCUUGACGUUAACUUUAGAAGAANCACCGGCUAACUCCGUGCCAGCAGCCGCGGUAAUACGGAGGGUGCAAGCGUUAAUCGGAAUUACUGGGCGUAAAGCGUGCGUAGGCGGUUUAUUAAGUCAGAUGUGAAAGCCCCGGGCUUAACCUGGAACUGCAUUUGAAACUGGUCAACUAGAGUAUGGUAGAGGAAAGUGGAAUUUCUGGUGUAGCGGUGAAAUGCGUAGAUAUCAGAAGGAACAUCAAUGGCGAAGGCAACUUUCUGGACCAAUACUGACGCUGAGGUACGAAAGCGUGGAUAGCAAACAGGAUUAGAUACCCUG